CCUCCUACGGGGAGGCUGCAGUAGGAGUAUCUCACACAAUGGAGGCAAAUAUGGUGCAGCAACGGAGGGUGAAUGAAGAAGGUCUUCUGAUCUUAAAGAUUUGUUGUUGAUGAAGAAGGAUAGUGGCAGUAACUGGUCUUUAUUUGACGGUAAUCAACCAGAAAGUCACGGCUAACUACGUGCCAGCAGCCGCGGUAAUAAGUAGGUGCCAAGCGUUGUCGGGAUUUAUUGGGCGUAAAGCGAGCGCAGGGGUAAUGAUAUGUAUGAUGUGAAAGCCCACGGCUCAACCGUGGAAAAGCAUGGGAAACUGUCAUUAGAGAGUACAGAAGAGGAGAGUGUAAGUCCAUGUGGAGCGGGGGAAUGUGUAGAUAUACGGAAGAACACCAGGCGGAAGGCGGCUUUUUGGUUGACAAUGGACGUGGAGGCUCGAAAGCAUGGGUAGCGAACAGGAUUAGUUCCCUUGGUAGUCCAUGCCGUAAACGUUUUUCUUUAGGUGUUGGGGACUUUCCCCUCCUCAGUGCGGCAGCAAAAGCAUUAAGCGCUCCGCGGGGGGAAGAAAAAAA
rnacentral:rRNA from 1 species